AGUCAAUAAGUUUUAAACUUAUACCUUGAAAGUAUAAAAAGAAAGAAUUAACCUUUCAUUGACUU
rnacentral:tRNA from 1 species